UACGUAGGUGGCAAGCGUUGUCCGGAAUUAUUGGGCGUAAAGCGCGCGCAGGCGGUCUUUUAAGUCUGAUGUGAAAUCUUGCGGCUCAACCGCAAGCGGCCAUUGGAAACUGGGAGACUUGAGUACAGAAGAGGAGAGUGGAAUUCCACGUGUAGCGGUGAAAUGCGUAGAGAUGUGGAGGAACACCAGUGGCGAAGGCGACUCUCUGGUCUGUAACUGACGCUGAGGCGCGAAAGCGUGGGGAGCGAACAGG
rnacentral:rRNA from 1 species